rnacentral:rRNA from 1 species
GGGAUAAAAUUAAUAAUAAAUUAAUAAUAAAAUAAAUAUUAAAGUUAAAAAUAUAUAAUGGGGGUUAAAGUAUUUUUAAUAGAAAAAAUUUAAAAUUUUAUAGGGAAUUAGUAUUGUAAAAGAAGUUUGAAAUAAAUGAAAAUAAAUUAAUUAAAAAGAAAAUUUAAUUUAUUGUAUCUUGGGUAUCAGAGUUUAUUAAAUAUAUUUUUUCAAAAAAAAAUUUCGAAUUUAAAAGAGUUAAUUAAUUAUAAAAGUUAAUAUAGCAUAAUUAUUUUAAAUAAUUAAUUAGAAAUGAAAUGUUAAUCGUUUUUAAAAAUAUCUAGUUAUUUUAGAAAAAAAUUUAAUUUUAAAUUUAAAUAAUUUUAUAAUUUAUUAAAUAAUUAUAAAAAUUUAAAAUUUAAUAUUUUAAGGGAUAAGCUUUAAAUUAAAAAUUUAUAAAAAAAAUAAAGAAAAAAUUAAAAUUUUUAAAAUUUAUAUUGUUUAAAGAUUAUAAUUUAUUAUAAAAAAUUUUAAUUAAAAUAUAAAAUUUAAUAAAAUAAAUUUAAAUUUUUAUAAGAUAAUAAUUUGUAAUGAGAUAGAAUCAGAAAUAAUGAUAAAAUUAGUAUAAUAUAGUAUAAUACGAAAAAAAAGUUAAAUAGUAAUUUAAAGUUAUUUAAAAGGAAUUCGGCAAAUAAUUAUAUUCACUUGUUUAUCAAAAACAUGUCUUUUUGUGUAUUAAUUUAAAGUCUAAUCUGCCCACUGAUAAAUAUUAAAGGGCUGCAGUAUAUUGACUGUACAAAGGUAGCAUAAUCAAUAGUUUUUUAAUUGGAAACUUGUAUGAAAGAUUUGAUGAAAUAUAAACUGUCUCUUAAGUAUUAUUAAAAUUUUAUUUUUUAGUCAAAAAGCUAAAAUAUAUUUAAAAGACGAGAAGACCCUAUAGAGUUUUAUAUUUUUUUUUAUUUUAGGGGUUUAUAAAAUUAAUUUUUAAGAUAAAAAAAAAUAUUGUGUUGGGGUGACAGAAAAAUUAAAUAAACUUUUUUAAAUAUUUAACAUUAAUAAAUGAUUAAGUGAUCCAUUUAUUGUGAUUAUAAGAAAAAAUUACCUUAGGGAUAACAGCGUAAUAUUUUUUUUUAGUUCAAAUAAAAAAAAAAGUUUGCGACCUCGAUGUUGGAUUAAGAUAAAAUUUAAAUGCAAAAGUUUAAAAUUUUGAUCUGUUCGAUCAUUGAAAUCUUACAUGAUCUGAGUUCAAACCGGUGUGAGCCAGGUUGGUUUCUAUCUUUAAAAAAUAAAAAUAUUUUA